CCAAUAGCGUAUAUUAAAGUUGUUGCAGUUAAAAAGCUCGUAGUUGAAUUUCGGGAUCAAUUUAUUGGUCGUGCAAUAGUACGUACUGGUAUUAUUGGUUCCUACCUUCUGAUGAACCAUGAUGUCAUUAAUUUGGUGUUAUGGGGAAUCAGGACUGUUACUUUGAAAAAAUUAGAGUGUUUAAAGCAGGCUCACGCUUGAAUACAUUAGCAUGGAAUAAUGAAAUAGGACGUUUGAUUCUAUUUUGUUGGUUUCUAGGAUCGACGUAAUGAUUAAUAGUGAUAGUUGGGGGCAUUAGUAUUCAAUUGUCAGAGGUGAAAUUCUUGGAUUUAUUGAAGACUAACUACUGCGAAAGCAUUUGCCAAGGAUGUUUUCAUUAAUCAAGAACGAAAGUUAGGGGAUCGAAGACGAUCAGAUACCGUCGUAGUCUUAACCAUAAACUAUGCCGACUAGGGAUCGGAUGAUGUUAAUUUUUUAAUGACUCAUUCGGCGCCUUACG
rnacentral:rRNA from 1 species